rnacentral:misc_RNA from 1 species
GAUGAAGAACGCAGUGAAAUGCGAUAAGUAAUGUGAAUUGCAGAAUUCAGUGUAUCAUCGAAUCUUUGAACGCACAUUGCGCCCAUUAGUAUUCUAGUGGGCAUGCCUGUUCGAGCGUCAUUAAGUCCACUUAAGCCCUGCUUAGUGUUGGGAGACUGCUCCAGCGGUGCUACCCUGUAGCUACCCUGCAGCUCCUCAAAGACAGCGGCGGAGUUGUGGUAUCCUCUGAGCUUAGUAACUUGUUCUAGCUUUCGAGUACACCACUUCCCCUGCCGUAAAACCCUUAAUUUUUAAUGGUUGACCUCGGAUCAGGUAGGAAUACCCGCUGAACUUAAGCAUAUCAAUAAGCGGAGGA